UGCAAAUCAGAAAGUAAAUGAGUGGAGU
rnacentral:sRNA from 1 species